rnacentral:rRNA from 1 species
GAUGAACGCUGGCGGCGUGCUUAACACAUGCAAGUCGAACGAAUCUUGAGGAGCUUGCUCCUCUUGGUUAGUGGCGGACGGGUGAGUAACGCGUGGGUAACCUGCCCUAUGCAUGGGGAUAACAACGAGAAAUUGUUGCUAAUACCGCAUAAUCUAUGAGAAUCGCAUGAUUUACAUAGCAAAGAUUUAUCAGCAUAGGAUGGACCCGCGUUGGAUUAGCUAGUUGGUGAGAUAAUAGCCCACCAAGGCAACGAUCCAUAGCCGGCCUGAGAGGGUGAACGGCCACAUUGGGACUGAGACACGGCCCAAACUCCUACGGGAGGCUG